GGCCAGGCUGUCUCCACCCGAGACUCAGUGAAAUUGAACUCGCUGUGAAGAUGCAGUGUACCCGCGGCAAGACGGAAAGACCCCGUGAACCUUUACUAUAGCUUGACACUGAACAUUGAGCCUUGAUGUGUAGGAUAGGUGGGAGGCUUUGAAGUGUGGACGCCAGUCUGCAUGGAGCCGACCUUGAAAUACCACCCUUUAAUGUUUGAUGUUCUAACGUUGGCCCGUAAUCCGGGUUGCGGACAGUGUCUGGUGGGUAGUUUGACUGGGGCGGUCUCCUCCUAAAGAGUAACGGAGGAGCACGAAGGUUGGCUAAUCCUGGUCGGACAUCAGGAGGUUAGUGCAAUGGCAUAAGCCAGCUUGACUGCGAGCGUGACGGCGCGAGCAGGUGCGAAAGCAGGUCAUAGUGAUCCGGUGGUUCUGAAUGGAAGGGCCAUCGCUCAACGGAUAAAAGGUACUCCGGGGAUAACAGGCUGAUACCGCCCAAGAGUUCAUAUCGACGGCGGUGUUUGGCACCUCGAUGUCGGCUCAUCACAUCCUGGGGCUGAAGUAGGUCCCAAGGGUAUGGCUGUUCGCCAUUUAAAGUGGUACGCGAGCUGGGUUUAGAACGUCGUGAGACAGUUCGGUCCCUAUCUGCCGUGGGCGCUGGAGAACUGAGGGGGGCUGCUCCUAGUACGAGAGGACCGGAGUGGACGCAUCACUGGUGUUCGGGUUGUCAUGCCAAUGGCACUGCCCGGUAGCUAAAUGCGGAAGAGAUAAGUGCUGAAAGCAUCUAAGCACGAAACUUGCCCCGAGAUGAGUUCUCCCUGACUCCUUGAGGGUCCUGAAGGAACGUUGAAGACGACGACGUUGAUAGGCCGGGUGUGUAAGCGCAGCGAUGCGUUGAGCUAACCGGUACUAAUGAACCGUGAGGCUUAACCUU
rnacentral:rRNA from 1 species